AUUUAUAUAAUAUAAAAAGUAUACUUAACUUCCAAUUAAAAAGUUUAAAUUAAUUAAUGUAAAUA
rnacentral:tRNA from 1 species